rnacentral:lncRNA from 1 species
AAUAGAUCCUCCAUCAAUUGGCAUGCUUGAAUCGAUUCAUAAGCUGAUAAAAACAUGUCAACUUUGCCACAAAAAGGUUAAAACCAAUUACUAAGGACCUUAAUGAAUUAAUUGGGUUAAAUGAAUAUGAUUACUACUCAAAGGUGCUUAAAACCAUUAUAAUUAGGUCUACAAAAUAGCACUUUUUAGUAGUAAUCACUAUAUAAACAAAAUUAAACAAAACAAAUUGUUUGAACAUUCCUAAAAAUUGUAUUCCCUUCUCAUUCAAUAGCCAUAUUUUUCUUAUAUUUUUGGUAUUCUUCUCAACAACCAUAUACAACACAAACACAACAAUUUAGAAAAUAAAACAAAAUCAAUAUAGCUUACCACCAUCUCAUUUUCCCAUAAUUUAUCAAAUUGUAAACCAUAUUUCAUUUCAAAUAAACCCUAAAUAAAUUAAAAUAUAAAAUUAGAUACAAUAUUAAUGAACACUCAACAUAUACUAAUAUGCAAUGCAAUCAAGUUUAAAUCACAAAAUUGCACAAAUCACAUAACUAUGAUAGUAUUCAAAUCUCAAAGAAUCAAAAAUGACAAAUCAAAAUAAAUAGUUCUUACAAAAUUUAAUGAAAUACAUAUAUCACUUGGAAAAACCCUUGCUUUAAAAGUUAAAUGCAACUACAAUAUUUAUAUGUUUUGUUCCUUCUUUCUCUCAAUUGAUUUUUUUCUCCUUCUUCAACGUAAAAAGUAAAAGAUGAAGUACAGGAAGGGGAGAAAUUAUUUUUUCGAUGCUAAAAUGAGAAGAAGGAAAGGGGUUCUUUGUCUACCUAGGCUUUGUUAGGGGGUACACUCUUGGACUUUUGUUUUUGAAUUGAUGUUUGGUGGAAAAAUGACGAUGUCAUAUUCCUUAUGGUGAAAGAGGAGAAACAAAAUAAGGGAUCAUGUUUGGAGAUUCAUUUGGGGUUGAUGGGUUAUGGCGAAUUGAGAAGCUACCGGAUUUUUUAUGGAUCGUUUCACCUUGUGAUGGGUUGUGCUUGUGAACGAAGAAGAAAAAACAUGGGUUUGUGGAGUUAGGGUUUGUUUGAAGAGAGAAAAAGAAAUUUGGAGGUAAAUAUUUAAAAAAAAAAAAAAUCAAUGCAUGUGGAGUGUCUAGUUGGAUGAUGACAUGUAUAUGAACCAUGUCACCAGCUUUAGUGGGUAGUUGACUUGGACCUUACUUACAUGACUUUUCAAAGUGGGUGAUCCAACUAGGAGAGCUGUCAAAGUGCAGGGGGGAUUUUUAUAAGGGUCUCAAUAUUAGUGUAUGGAAAGACAUUUAUUUUCCCCAAAAUCCACUAACCUUCAAAAGUAAAAAGUAAAGUUUCUAAAAGGCAAAAUUUUGCCCCUUGGUGUAUGGUUACAUAUAUUUCCCUAUUUAUUUUAAGUUGACAUGCUUUUAGGUUAGCACAUUUCAAAUACCUGAUUUCAAUUUGACUUAAUGAGGUACUUGUAUUUCAAGUUGGUGAUUUUGGUGGGAUCACAAUACAUGCCACUAAUGAAGUGAAGACACCUUCAGAAACAGAUGACGGUAAUAAUUUUAAGUCGUUAGCGGAUGAAGAUGAUGAUAAUCAUGAACUCAAAGGACCAUCAUGGUGUGACGGAUUUAACAAGAAAUGUUGCAAUUGAAAGUGAUUCUUAGGUGAUUCCCGAAGGUGAUUCCCUAGAAAUGUUAUUAAAUUCGAGGAUUUCAUUCCAAAUUUCCAAGUUGUGGAUCUAUGAGAUUGGACAAUGGUGUCAAGUGUCAAAAAGGAUAGGAAAUGACAAGUGGCCAGGUUGAUUGGACGACUAGUGAGGCAAUCCAUUGAGUUUCAUCCCUUUAUGCCUUUUGGUGGUGAUUUCUUAAAAACUACUCCAAUAUGUGAGAUGCAAGUUAAACUAGUUAGUUUUUGUUUCAUAUCCACAUGAAAUGCUUGUUUGAAGUACAAAUAAAACCCCAGUUUUAUCCUCUGAUGGUUACUAUAGGAGGAGGAAAAAUCAUCCCAUUAGAAUGUCAUAGGAAAGUCACAACAAGCAGAUAGUUUCCAUUUCAUUCACGCUUCUUGAGCAUUUAUCCAAUCGUGUCCUAAAAAUGUUUUAUUGUGUGAAUGUGUCCAAGCUAUUAGCUUAUCAAGAUUGAAACUUAGGUGUUAUGUAAGUUCAUUGUGGGUUAGUGUGGCUCCAUCUGUAGUAAUACCUAGGAGACUAUACAAUAAUAUUCUGGUUCUCAUCAUGCUUCUUAAUCUAGUUUAAUUGAACUAGUGGAUUUGGGACUCAAAAUAUGGCAAUUUAUGGGGUGACGAAAAAUCUUUGGGGCCUAAGAAGGUGCAUGGAUAUUUAACUCAGGUGAUGUACAACAGGCACAAUAAGUUCAAUCCUUUGUAGAGCUCACUUGUCUUUGCUGGUGUGAGAAAUGGACAGAAAUAUCUUAGCAUAGGUAAUAUGAUUGGUGUGCAUUUUGAGGACAGAUCAUGUGGUAAUCGGAUUUGGAAAUUACCUUAUAUGGCCAAUUCUUCGUGAUGAGUGGCAUGAAGACUUGAGUUUUGAAGAUGGUUUUAAGUUAUAUGGAUCCUGAAUAUGUGAUCACUUAAGAGCUCACUGAGAAAAGUAAUGUAUACAAUUGUGAUGUGGUACCAUUGGGGUUUGUGAGUGCAAGAUGAGCUAUAGAGGACAACAAGAAUUUGUAAGAAUGGUCCCAAACAUUCAUGGCAUCAGAAUUAAGACUACCCGAACUAGUGAACCCCAGUAUUGGGAACUCCUUUGAUUUUGAUCAUCUUUAAAUGGUUGUGAUAAUUGUGAGAUGGUGCAUACAAAGAGAGUGCAAGAAAAAGUUCAGAAAGAUAUAACAACUGCAAUCACUAACCAAACAGUCUUUGUAAUGACCGAGUAUUUUAGGCCACAUUGGAAUUUCAAGUUUGAAAAGUCUUCUAUUAGACAGUGGUUGAAAGUAAAAAAAAAGAUUGGAGAACACAUGUCAAUUUUGUAUUGACGGAAUUCAAAAUAUUUUAUUGGUCAAUUCAGCGAGUUGAAUUUUUGUACCACGUCAACUUUAUGGUAGGAAAUUUCUUAAGAUCGUAGAUAUUGAAAAUUUCUGAAAACGAAAAGCGAAAAAAAAAAAAAUGAAAACGAAAAAUGAAAAAUGAACUAAUUAAAAUUAAUUAGAACUAAUUAAGUAAAAAAAAUUAAAUUAAAUUGCUUAAUAAUAAAUUUGAGAAAAUUAAAAUUUUUGGGAUGGUGUUUGAUAAUUUAUUUUGAGUGUUGUUUAAAAAAAUGAAUUAGGAAAGAAAAACGAAUUGAAUUGAACAAAAACUAAAAAAAAAAAAAAAAACAAUGAAAUAUAUUAUAUGUAUAUUGGUAGUUGUUUGGUCUUUGGGAGGAUUAAAAAGUAAGGAAAGAAAAUGAAAUAAAGAAAAUGAGAGAUGGAGCAGUAGAAGGCGUCAACGACUGUGAGAAGAGAACAUGUUGUCGUUCUUUGGCUGGCCAUUUCGAUGGCCAAACGUGCCCUUUUCUGCGUGAAAUUUUGAGGGAAAGUUCUACUCGAUGCGAGGAACAUUCCUACGAUGGCGCAUUUCAUUUUCACGAUUGGAUUGUUAGAUCUGUGGUAGAGAGACUUAACCUUAAAACUUUUAUUGAAUGCAUUUUUCUUUUUAAAAAAAAUAAAUUAUAAAGCUAGUUGUUGGGAGUUGAAUAGGUAAUAUUUAUGAUACGAAAAAGUUUAUUGGGUGAUAUAAGAAUUUUUCUUGGGAUUAUUAUGUGAUAAUGGAAGUGUUUAAUUGUGGGAAACAAUUGUGUUUGAUUGUUGGAAUUAUUGGGAUUAUUGAGAAAUAAUGGAGUAUUAAUAGAAAUUAUGUUUAAUUGAUAUUUUAAUUAUUGAGAAUUUAUUUGAUUGUUUUUGAUAAUUUAAUUGUGGAGAAAUAAUUGUGUUUGAUUGUUGGAAUUAUUGGGAUUGUUGCAAAAUAAUGGAAUGUUGAUGGAAAUUAUGUUUAAUGAUAUUUGAAUUAUUGAGAAUUUAUUUUAUUGUUUUUGGUAAUUUAAUUGUGGAGAAAUAAUUGUGUUUGAUUGUUGGAAUUAUUGGAAUUGUUAACAAAUAAUGGAAUUUUGGUAGAAAUUAUAUUUAAUUGAUAUUUGAAUUAUUGAGAAUUUAUUUGAUUGUUUUUGGUAAUUUAAUUGUGAAGAAAUAAUUUUCAUUUGAUUAUUGGAAUUUAUUUGGAUUGUUGAGAAACAAUGAAAUCAUGGUAUAAAUUGUAAUUUUAUUUAUAUUUGAAUUAGUGGGAAUUUUAUUUGAUAUUUGUGAUACUUGUGAUUGAGGAUAAUUAAUCUCAUUGCAUUUCAUAUCCAUCAUGGUUGCGUGAAGGAAAAAUAAAAACUGUAAAAGGUGCAUGAAAUGGAAAAAGAAAGAAAAAUAAAAUAGUAAUGAAAAGUAAAGGCCUGUAAAAGACAAAUUAAGAAGGAAGUGAGAUCCCUACGAUGAAAGACCCAAAAAUCUACCCCAUAAAGACUCUAAAUGGGGAGCGUAUUUGGGUAUGGACGCAUAUCCUUUGGUGAAAGCCUGAGAACGAUAGUGCGUUGUAUGAUUGUGUGUCAUAUGUCCACAUGCAUUUUAUUUAAUUGUUAAAAAUUGUUGAACUGUUAUAAUUAUAAAAAUUAAAAUGUUUAGGUUGAUGAAUUAUGGUGGAAUGUUUAUUUUGUGUUCACUUGAACCUUAGUAAUCCCAAUUAAACCCUUGGGUAUAAGGCACCCUACUGAGCAAUGUGGAAUGCUUACCUCUUGCUUUUUAAAUAUUUUUAGAUGCAGAUGUAGCUUUUGAUGAUCAGCAAAUGGGAUAGGAAGGGCUUAAGAAUGCCCUAGGAGAUUUUGGAGCAACUUAGAGAAUUUUGUUAUCCUUGGUUGUGUUAGCUUAUUGGAACACAUUCUAAUAGAUUUUUAAAUUAAGUAAUUGCUUAUGGAUUGUAUUUUGAAUUAAACUCACUUUAUUGGAGACACUCUUAUUAGACUUUGGUUAGAGAUCUUAUUGAUAUUAAAUUGCUUAUUGCUCUUGAAUAGUUGUUAUAUUUUUAUAAGUUAGAAUGUUAGUUAAAGGAAGCUUUGUUGUGAUAUAUGUUUUUUUUUUUUACAAAUCUUAGGGCAUUUUAGUUGACUGCCAAUUUGGAUUAGGAGGAACCCUUAGGAUCAAACCUUUGACCUGGGGUCAUGGGUCAGAUUCUGGGUCACCUAGAAUUUGGGUCGUGACGACAUGGUAUCAGAGAUAAGGUUGCAAUAAUACCUUGGGGUCAAUGUUUAUGUGUGUUCGUAUGUAUUAUUAUGUUUAUGAUUUGUUGUAUAUAAUUAUUUAAUGAGUUAAUUAUUAAUUAAUUUAUUUAAUUGCUUAUUCUUGAUGUUUGAAAAAUCUUGUUAUGGUGCUUGUUGAUGAUAGUAAGAAGGGUUGUGGUGUUAAUUAUGUUGAAUUAUGUAUUAUGAAUAUUGUAUGAAAGUAAAAGUUUUUAAUAGUUAUUAAAGUUGCUAAAUUGUUAUAUGUGAAUUUAUUUUGCUCACCUUGGAAGUGUGGUUGGAUUAGGGCUUGUUGGGACUGAAAUGGCGAGAAGGCCAAGAAGAAGAAGAACUAAAAGAAAUGAGGAGCUAGAGUUAGUAAGGAAAGAGCUCCAUGAAGUUAGAAGGGAAUUACAGAAGACCGUUCAAUUAAUGAGAGAGCAAGAUUCUAGGAGGUUAGGAGGUACCCAAGGCUAGGAGGAUUCGGACCACUCUGAGAGGAGGAGCUACUCUACUAGGCCAGUAAUGAACCAAUUGGAGGCAAUGAAAAGGUUUAUGGUGAUGCAACCUCCAUCUUUUAAUGGAGAGCCCAAUGUUGAAGCAGCAGAACAUUGGUUGAGGAGAAUGAAGAGAAUUCUAGUGGGAUUGGACAUACCUAAGGAAAAUAGGGUUAGUCUGGCAAUUUACAUGCUAGUAGAUAAGGCGAAUAUUUGGUGGGAGACCAUGAAGAGGGUAUACGACACUGAGAUGAUGACUUGAGAUGAAUUUGAAAGAAUCUUCCUAUUUUGGAGAGGUGGCUAAGCAUGCCAAGAGGAUAGAGUUUGAGCACCUCGUCCAAUGAACUAUGUCAGUAUUAGAAUAUGAAUCUCGUUUUUCUGAGUUGUCUAGAUUUUCCAUAGGGAUAAUUAGUGAGGAAUGAGAGAAGGCCAGGAGAUUCCAGUAAGGGUUGAGGCUUGCUAUUAGAAAUAGAUUGAUCCUACUAGCUAUAAGGGACAAUUCUGAGUUGGUUAAGAGAGCUUUAUUUGUGGAGCAAGACAUAAAGGACACCAAUCAAAUCCAAGAACAAAGGGGAGAUAGAAAAGGGAAACAAAAAGUGGAGGAAAGUUCCUAGAGGAGAUCCUAGAGCUAGUAGCAGAGGCAAAGAGGUUAAUAAUUUGAAGGGCAUUCUUCGUUCUAUGCAGGAGGUGAGCAAGGUGCUCAGAGGGCAAUUGUUAGAGUAUGUUAUGGUUAUAGGGUAAGAAAUCACUUAUGGAGGGCUUACCCAUUAAGGGGCGCAUAGCAGGCUCGAUUUCAUCCUCAAUGAGGCCCCCAGCAAUAGCUAGCAUUACCUUUCCAGCCCCCUCAGUUUCACUUACCCUACUACUAGAUGUCAUAGUUACCCCCAACAGUGCAGGAAGGCUGAACAACCACUAUGAGUAGUCAGACUCGAUCUUCUCAAGGGUUGAGUGCUAAAAGGAGGCAGGCUGUAGGUGGAGUUUUUUCCUUGACCCCACCAGAGCUAAAAAAAUGACGCUCUUUUGGUGGAAUGUAUGAUUUUGGUCUAUAGUACUUGAGUGCAUGUUUUGUUUGAUAUUGGUGUAACUCAUUCUUUUAUUUCUUCAUCUUGUGCUAAUGCAUUGGGGUUGAAAACGAAAAAUGGUAGAAAAUCUAUUACUUAUCAAGUCCCCUAUGGGUAUAAAUUAUAGAGUUGAUAGAAUAUGCAAUGGGUGCGUCAUUACCUUGGCGGAUAGAGCACUUAAGGUGGAUUUGAGGAUUUUGGAUAUGAUUGGGUAUGAUGUUAUCUUGGAAAUGGAUUACCUGAUAGUAUAUAGAGCGUUUAUUGAUUGUCAUCACCGUAGGAUAAUAUUUUGUCUACCAGAUAGAUUUGAGGUUUGCUUUGUUAGGGGGAAGUGUGUUAGUUUGCCUUUUUCACAGUCUGAUCCAUGCUAUCAGUAUGUGUUGAGGAAGGGAUCAAUAAAUUUCCUAACUUACCUUCGUAGUAAGAAGAAACCCCAGAAGGACAUUACAGAAAUUACAGUGGUGAGGAAGUUUCAAGAUGUAUUUCAAAAUGAGCUACUAGGUUUACCACCAUAUAGAGAGUUUGAUUUCUCUAUUGAAGUAUAUCUAGGAAUGGAUCCUCUUUCAAUAUCCCCUUAUAGGAUGACCCCUCUUAAGUCGAAGGAAUUGAAAGCUCAGUUGGAGGAAUUAUUGAGUAAGGGUUUUAUUCGUCCAAGUACAUCGUCGUGGGGAGCCUUAAUGUUGUUUGUGAAGAAGAAAGAUGGCAUGUUAAGAUUAAGUAUUGACUAUAGGAAGUUGAAUAAAGUUACUGUGAAGAAUAAGUAUCCUUUUCCAAGGAUAGAUGACUUGUUUGAUCAGUUGAAGGGUGUGAAGUAUUUUAGUAAGAUUGACUUGAGAGUUGGGUAUCUUUAAUUAAGGGUUAGAGAAGAAGAUGUUCCCAAGACCACUUUUAGAAUGAGAUACGGGCAUUAUGAAUUCUUCAGUUUGUGAUUAUCUUUGUGGAUUACAUCUUGAUUUACUCAAGGAGUUUAAAAGAGAAUAAACAACAUUUGGUGACCACCCUUAGAACUUUAAGAAGACACUAGUUGUAUGGAAAGUAUGAAAAAAGUGAGUUUUGGCUUACUAAAGUAAAUUUCUUAGGCCAUGUGGUUUUUGAGGCAGGAAUAAUAGUGGACCACUCCAAGGUGGAAGCUGUGCAGGAGUGGCAAAGGCUUACUAAUGUAUUUGAGGUUAAGAGUUUCUUGGGGUUGACUGGAUAUUAUAGGACGUUUGUGGAAGACUUCUCUAGAAUUGCAUCACCAAUGACUCAGUUGACUAGAAAAGAAGUGAAGUUUGAAUGGGAUGAGAAGUGUGAGAAUGCUUUCCAAGAGUUGAAGCGGAAAUUGACCAUUGCUCUAAUGUUAACUACUCCUAUUAGUGGAGAGUUGUUUAUGGUUUAUUGUGAUACUUCUAUAGUGGGGCUAGGGUGCGUGCUAAUGCAACAAGGCAAGGUGAUAGCUUAUGCCUCAAGGAAAUUAAAGUCGCAUGAGCAAAACUAUCCAACAUAUGAAUUGGAGCUUGCGGUAGUAGUGUUUGUCCUUAAGACUUGGAGACACUAUUUGUAUGGAGAGAAGUUUGAGGUGUACUUUGAUCAUAAGAGUUUGAAAUACAUCUUCACUCAAAGGGAUCUAAACUCUAGGCAGAGGAGAUGGAUGGAGACAUUGGAAGAUUAUGAUUUUACUCUUCAUUACCAUCCUAGAAAGGUGAAUGUUAUAGUAGAUGCCUUAAAUAGGAAGAGUUAUGACCAGUUGUCUAGCUUAUGGUUGAGAGAGUUUAAGAUGCAUGCAAUUAUUGAGGAUUUUGAGCUAUGUCUUGGUUCGAAAGGACAAGGUCCAUGCUUGUACAGUAUAUCGCCUACCCCAAUGAUUAUCCAAAGAAUAGUGGAGGCCAAAAUUCAUUAUGAGUUUUUAGAAAAGUUAAAGCCCGGUUGCUAGAGGGUGAAGUAGAUGAAAAUUGGUCUAUGCAUGUAGAUGGGAGUGAGAUUUAAAUGGAGAUUAUGUGUGCCAAGGAAUGUAGAGUUGAGGAAUGAACUGUUAGCAGAUGCUCAUAGGGCAAAGUAUACUAUCCACCCUGGAAGUACCAAAAUGUAUAAAGACUUAAAGAGACAAUUCUGGUCAAGUGGGAUGAAGAGAGACAUGGCUCAGUAUGUAGCCAAUUGUGAAAUUUGUCAACAAGUGAAAGUUUAACACUAGAAGCCUAUAGGGUUGUUGCAACCUUUACCUAUACCUGAGUGGAAGUGGGAUCAUAUCACUAUGGACUUUGUGAUAGGGUUACCAAGAACUAGAAGCAAGAAAAAUGGAGUUUGGGGAAUUGUGGGCCGUCUUACUAAGUCAACUCAUUUUCUAGCCAUGAAGACUACUAACUCCAUGAACUCUCUGGCUAAGUUGUAUAUAUAGGAAAUUGUGAGGUUACAUGGGAUACCUUUGUCUAUAGUGUCUAACAGGGACCCUAAGUUUACUUCUCAGUUUUGGCAGAGUUUACAAAGGGCUAUAGGCACCCAAUUGAAGUUUAGCACCAUUUUUCACCCUUAGACAAAUGGUCAAUCAAAAAGAGUAAUCCAGAUUUUAGAAAACAUGUUAAGGGCUUGUGUUUUGGACUUUUGAGGGAAUUGGAUAGACUACUUACCUUUGGGAGAGUUUUCUUAUAACAACAAUUACCAAUCUAGCAUUGGGAUGGCACCUUAUGAAGUUGUGGACCCGCAUUUUUCACAUGCGUCCCCACUCGAUCGGCAAGACUCACUUUUGUUUGUAAAAAAUUGGUUUUGGAAAAAAUCGGAGUCGCCACUUAUUUUAUUUUAUUUUAAAAGGGAAAAUAAAACAAGAAAGAAAACCCUAAAAAAGUGACUCCAUAAUUUUUGGAAAGCGUGUCUUUGAAAAACCCAAGUCUAGGUCCGAGGAUCAAGUUACCUAUUGGGAAGGUACCUUUAAAAAGUAGCACCCCUCUAAGCCCUAAAGAGGUCUCUAUUGACUAAGUCGAGGGGAAUGUGGCAAUUAAUUUAUUAAUUGAAAGUACCUUGGUAGACUAAGGUGAUUUUAGAAUUAACAUGUCAAGCCAAAAAAGUUAAAUCAUGAUCACAAAAGAGAGUCAAAGUGUGUACUUGGACUACUUCUCAAGCGCUAUCAUAAAACAUCAAAGUUAGCAUAGAAAUAUAGUACACAAAAUGUAUUUUGUCCAAAAAGAUCAAACAUGCAUCUAAGCACCCAAGGAUAGAAUCAGACAUAGAUAUGGCUUACAAAAUCAUGCAUGUUCAUAAAAUUCCGAAAAAGUAAGUGAUAGAUAGCAUACCUAGAUAGCAUGCAUAAUUUAUAAGAUUCCUCCAAAAAUGUUAGAAUGGUUAGGACAAGUAUAAAUCAUGUAACAUCUUUAUUAUGUCUAAUAUGCAGUACCAAAGCCAAAAGUGAGCCACCGUAAGCCAAAUGUCUCCAAAAGUAGAUAACAAAUUCAAGCAAGUACUGAGUCGUCAGCAUGCAUAUAGUAAAGGGAGCAUCACAAAAUAAUUUCUAAAAAACAUGUCUUGGAGUAGAAUUUAAUCACAAAAAAAAAUCUGGAAACAACUCCUGCACAUCUAGAAUAAGAUACCAAAAUCCAAACACUCAUUCAAAUGUCAAAUUGCAGCAAAAACACCCAAAAGUUUUAGAAGGUCUAGAUUAGGUAAAAAAAAUAGUGGCAUACAUAAACGAAUUUUAAAAAAAAUAAUAAUACAUCACAUAAAAUCAUACAAAAAAUCACAUACAUCGUUCAAGGUGUCUAUAUUAGAGAAAAAAUAAAUUCAAGGUCGAGGAGUACUCAAAAAUAUUUUUAAAACAGUCCAACCAAUCAGAUGUCUAGAUUCCAUCAUGCACAAUAGGUAUGAUUCUAAAAAUUAUAUCUCCCUCAAAAAAGGCAUAUUUUUUAUAUUUUGUGUCUAAAAUCAAUUUUAAGAAGCCUAAAAAUGAGGAAAAUUAUUGAAUCAAAUUUAAAAAACCAUAUGUUAUUUUAUUUUUACAAAAAGAUUUCGAGUGUACAUAACUGAGUGAUAACAGAACCCCUUAAAAACUCAUUCAUAUCUUUUAUUCCAUAAUUGCUUUCUAACUCAAACGAAACUUUAAAUUCAAGUUCAAUGAGUAAGGAAAGUCAUACAAGUUUUGAAUUUUUUUCAAAAGCAUUUUGAAGUUGCUGUAACGAAUUUUAACCCUAAAUGGUCAGUGGUUGAGUGAAAAUUGGUAGCAAGGAAGAGUUUUGAAAAAAUUUCUUAUGUAAGGGUUUCGCCAAUUCCCCAAUUAAUAUACACGAAUCCAUCCUAGAAUCAACCCAUUUGUUUGGGACCACAAGCUUGAAUGCAUAUUCUAUUCAAAACCAGGAUUUUUAUUGAAAACUAAGAAAGAUGCAAAUCGAUCAAAAUAUGGUUGCAUAUUUUUAAAGAAAAUGGGAUUUUGAUUCUAAGGACUCUAAAUGAAUUAUUUUUAACAUAAAAUUUUCAAAGAUAUUUUUUGAGAAAAAAAGUAUUUUAUUUCAAAAACAAAAAAAAAAACAUGAGAAACAAACUACCAAGCCAAACAAAAAAAAAAAAAAAUCAUAAAAUGGAAUUUUUUUUUUUUUUUUUACAAUCGAGCAAACUAAAGUGGUAUAAUGGAGGCCAAUCUUCACUAUUUUCCGAUGGCCUCCGAAAAGUAAGUUUUACCAGAGACUACCUAAGCAAUAAACUAUUCAAACUUAAAUUAAUUAAAUUAAUGACUAAUAUUCAAGAAACAGAUCAAUUAAGAGUAAUAAUAAUGAAUUAGCACAUGAUCGAUUAAACACACAAACGCAUCUAGACUGAUUAAAAUGGACUAAAUUAAAUCAGGGUAAACAUGAAUUUUCAAUCAUAGAAUUAAUUUUAUUAGUGAGCUAAAUAUUACAGAAAAUACCUAAACUGAAUAGAUGAGUGAAAUUAAAUCAAAGUAAACUAAACACAGGCACCUUCUAAAUUUGGAAUUGAUUUUAUUAAUAACUUAAAAUUAAAAAAAAAAAAAACACCUAAAACAAUUAAAAUGAAUCAAAUGAAAUGAAAGCAAGCUAAAACAAAAUAUGAGUUCAUGGAAUCAACUUCCUAAAUAAAUUUACAUUAUUAAAUUGAAAUCAAAGCUCAAUAUGAAUUAAACACUAAUUAAGGCAAAUUUAAAAAUAAAAUAUUUAGCACAUAAGAUCAAUUAUUUCAACAAACUAAAAUUUUACUUUAACCAAAAAUUAAAUUAUAAAACUACCCAAAACAAAUUUUAAAACAAAAUUUCUAGCCUAUAAAAUCAAAUUCAUUAAUAAAUGGAUAAGUAGAUAACACAUAAAUAAAUAAAUAUGGUAACCCACUUAAAAAUGAAAUCAAAACUUAAAAAUGUUUUUAACACCACUUAUGGUAACCCUAAAAUCAAAUAUUUAACACUUAAUAUUAAAUAUUUUUAAAGAAAAAAAAUAUCACUUAAACGCAUAAUUAAAUUGAAAACUAUCCAAAACAAAUUUUGAAACUAAAUUUCCUACCUAUAAAAAUUAGUCUUAUUAAUAAAUAAAUGAAAUAGAUAACCCGUGAAUAAAUAAAUAUAGAUAAAAGAAAAUACGAACUCAUGGAAUUAAUUUUUUCGAAUAAACUUACAUCACUAGAAUAAAAUUUAAGCUUAACAAACGUUUUUUGCACUAAUUAAGGCAAGUUUAAAAUCUAAUAUUUAACACAUAAAAACCAAUCAUUUCAACAAACUAAAAUUUUACUUAAACCUAAAACCAAUUCAAACUACCUACAACACAUUUUUUUUUUUUUAAAACUGAAUUUUUAACCCAUAGGAUCAAUCUUAUUAAUAAAUAAAUAAAUAAAUAAAUUACAAAGCAUUAAAUUAGUAGCAAAUAAAUAAAUAAACAACUAAUAAUUAAAUGAAUCAAAACUAAAUUAAAUAAAGAUCAAACUAUAUUUUUUCUCAAAGUAAAACUACAUAAAAUUGUGUUUUCUUAAUAUAAUAAAUCAAAACUAACCCUAAACACAAUUCUAAUCUUUAAAUACAUGUCAUAUUAAAACUGAUACAUGCUGGAGCUAGUAAUAUAAGUCAAACCACUCACCCAAUAUACCCAAUAUAAUAAUAAUCCCACUUGAAAAAUAAACCAAACUUUUAAUUUUACUGAAAACCCGUAUAUAUAUAUAAAAAAAAAAAAAAACUGACUUACCUAGCCGGCUUGCCAAAACAACCUGGUAGUGUGUAGUUGUUUUUUCUUCUCCAAUGGUGCUCGGGAACAAUGGUGUACGAGUUGAUGAGAGUUGAUCGAGUUUUAGUUCUUCAGCCAAUAUUAUUCUUUCAAAUCGUUUUCAAGGAAGUAUGGAUGGGUGGGCUGUUGUUUGGAUGGUUCCCGGUUUUCAGCCAAAGGAAGAUUCAGAAGACUCAUGCGACAGGAAAAUUCAGAUAACGCAAACACCAACUCCGACUUGGCUACAUCAACUUCAGCGGCAAGGUUGACCAAAAUAGUCUGGGUGUUCAGAAUCUUACCGUCGGUGAGUCCAAAUCUUGUUUCCCUUCUUUCCCUUCCAAAUCUUCUCGUUCCCUCUCCUCUGUACCUUCCCAAUCGCGGGGUGAAUGGUCAGUGAAUCAGCAAACAGUCGCGUAUGUGGGUUCCAAAAUAGCAGCCUCUUUUCGCUCUGAAAACCCUCCUCCAUCCUCUCAAACGACAGUCUCCUAUAUCAUUUUUCAAACAUGGACUCCUCCUUCUUUCCUUUUUCUUUUUUCUUAAUCUCUUCUCAAUCCCCCAUUCAGCUCCUCUCUCUAGCCACAGUAAUGGAAGGAACAGCAGAAAUAGUCCCCUUCCUCCAUUCGGAUCACACUUCAUAUUUUUUCCAUCAUUGGUCAGACUUCUCCUUAAUGGUGCGUUUCUUUUUUUUUUUUUUUUCUUUUCUCUCUUCAUCCUUUUUUUUUUUCAGACCAGCGUGAUUCCUCCCUUCCAGAGAAAAAACUAGUCAACCCUCU